CCUUCUAACUGUUAAGUCCUCUUUGCUUAACAAAUAAAAACAAAAUGCAUUUGGAAAGACAGAGGCUAUAUGGCAGGGGCUGGGUUUCUGAGUUAAUAUUCCAGUGAUAACAGUAACAAUAAAUAGACAGCGACCGGACAUGCGGUCCUGCACUGGGUUUAUAUGGAUGUCAUUUCAUUCAGUGCUUCCCAGGUGGUGUAGUGGUAAAGGAUCUGCCUGCUCGAUCCAUGGGUUGGGAAGAUCCCCUGGAGAAGGAUAUGGCCACCCAGUCCAGUAUUCUUGUCUGGGAAAUUCCAUGGACAGAGGAGACUGAGCACAGGCUCCAGGGCAUGAGGGCUCAGCAGUUGUGGCAUAUGAGUCUAGUUACCCCAUGGCAUGUGGAAUCUUCCCAGACCACGGAUCAAACCCAUGUCCCCUGCUUUGGCAGGUGGAUUCUUAACCACUGGAACACCAGCCUUAAAGAAGAAAUCUUCCAGAUUCGAUGUUUGUCAACAGUUUGGUUAUUUGGAUAACCCUUGGCCCCAGUGUGGGUCCCACUGAAGCUGAAUACGCACAACUCCUGGAUCAAUUUCUAACAUGAAGCAGGUUUUCAUCUCACCUGGAAGUGCUGGGCAGAGGGGAUUUUUCUCUCUCCAUUCCCUGAUUCUUUUAUACUCUUAAGGUAUUUAACACAUUAA
ensembl:lncRNA